CCCGAGCCAGGCGGGCCCAUACGGGAGUCCCUGGACACCCCAGCCGCAGGUGGGUGUCGGAGAAAACAGCGGCAGCC
ncrna:unclassified sequences Proteo-phage-1 RNA